AGCGUGGAGACAGGUGGUGCAUGGCUGUCGUCAGCUCGUGUCGUGAGAUGUUGGGUUAAGUCCCGCAACGAGCGCAACCCUCACCCCUUGUUGCCAUCAGGUCAUGCUGGGCACUCUAGGGGAACUGCCCCGGUCAACGGGGAGGAAGGCGGGGAUGACGUCAAGUCAUCAUGCCCCUUACGUCCUGGGCUACACACGUGCUACAAUGGCCGGUACAAAGGGAUGCCACACCGCGAGGUAGAGCUAAACCCAAAAAGCCGGUCUAAGUUCAGAUUGGAGUCUGCAACUCGACUCCAUGAAGGAGGAAUCGCUAGUAAUCGCGUAUCAGCACGACGCGGUGAAUACGUUCCCGGGCCUUGUACACACCGCCCGUCACACCACGAAAGCCUGCUGUACUCGAAGUCGCUGAG
rnacentral:rRNA from 1 species